rnacentral:rRNA from 1 species
AUUGAACGCUGGCGGCAUGCCUUACACAUGCAAGUCGAACGGCAGCACGGGAGCAAUCCUGGUGGCGAGUGGCGAACGGGUGAGUAAUAUAUCGGAACGUGCCCAGUCGUGGGGGAUAACGUAGAGAAAUUUACGCUAAUACCGCAUACGAUCUAAGGAUGAAAGCGGGGGGAUUCGCAAGAACCUCGCGCGAUUGGAGCGGCUGAUAUCAGAUUAGGUUGUUGGUGAGGUAAAAGCUCACCAAGCCGACGAUCUGUAGCUGGUUUGAGAGAACGACCAGCCACACUGGGACUGAGACACGGCCCAGACUCCUACGGGAGGCAGCAGUGGGGAAUUUUGGACAAUGGGCGCAAGCCUGAUCCAGCAAUGCCGCGUGCAGGAUGAAGGCCUUCGGGUUGGUAAACUAGCUUUGUUACGGAACGAAACGGUGA